rnacentral:lncRNA from 1 species
AGCUCCGCGCCACCACGCGGACCAAAGAACGCGCACGCUUCAUUCAAGGCAGAAUCUGACAAAUCACUCUCUGUGAACGCUCGGGCUCAGAGAACCGCGGAGCUCAAUUUGGAAUCCUCGCACGCCGGGGAACCCAAGCAGCUGGAGAGCUCUCGGGUCUCGGCCCUGGGCAAGACCGGGCGCCGGGCCCAGGGCACCCGUGGCCGGCCCUCGAGUCCCUCCCUGAACCCUUCGUUCGGUGCCCACAUCGCACCUCGGCCUUGCCCCGCCCGCCUACCUUCCAGAUCCUCAUCGUCCGAGUCCGAUUCACUCUCCCCGUCCUCCUCGAUGACGGGGACCCCGCUGGACUCCUGCGCGUGAAAGGUCGUCGGGGGGGCGAUGAACGAGUCUGAUUCCUGGCGGCGGGCCUCGCGCAGGCGUGUGAAGUACUCCACCGCGAAGUCGACGAGGUCGGGCGGCUGCUGCCGAAGCACCUCCACGGUGUAGCCCUGCAGCAGCUCCGUGAGCCCCGGUGGGAUCUGGAUGUGGCUCAUGCCGGCGACCGCUGAGAGGGCCGGCGGGUCGGGGCCGCCGGCGGCCGCAACCU